AUACCGAUUUUUUGGCAUUUAAGAACCGGAUCCGGGACCCGUUCCCGGUUGAACCGGUCAAACCGGCAGGUGCGGUCCGGUUUUCAAAACAUAAACGUGACCCUCUCCGAUCUUCGUCUAGACAUCCGAUCUCCGGCGCCGGCUACUGCUCUUUCUCCGAUCCGAUAAGGGAGGAAGUUAUACACUACAGAGAAGAUAUCUAAUUGAGUGUGGUUUAGGAGAAGAAACAUACAUAGGUACAGGUGAAGAGGGACUAGAGAGAAAGAGAAAAAUGGCAGUGGAGGAUGAUAAGGUAAAGAGAACUUGAGAUCUGCUGUCGAGUUUCUAUUCACAGGAUGCUUCUCAGACUUCUGCUCCCACCAACACCACAUCAAGAUUUGCCACUCUCGACACUAUCAACACCACCUCCUUCGAUGCCGAUCAGUACAUGAACCUUCUUGUACAAAAGUCAAAUCUGGAAGGCCUCCUUCAGAGACAUGUGGAAAUGGCUGCUGAAAUCAAGAAUCUUGACACUGACUUGCAAAUGUUAGUGUAUGAAAAUUAUAACAAGUUUAUCAGUGCUACAGAUACAAUUAAAAGUGUAGGAUUUCCGUGUUGUUCUUGAUGAAGAGUUGGGAUUGAUAUUGAAGCUAAGAGACAUGAUGAUUGGUUGGAUACAUGAAGGGUUUCAGAGGUUCUUCAGACGACUUAAUGAUGAGUUACUGUUGCAGCUGGGGAAAGGUUCUUGCAGCGUGUAUGUUUCUUGUUCUUGUUCUUGUAUUUAUUUAUUUAUUUAUGACACACAUGUUGUGUAUUGUUGAGUUGAGUAAAGUGAUUGAGGCUUCCUUUACAUACAGUAUGUAAAUAUGAGAACCCAAAGGAUUUCUCUUCUUUUGAAGAAGAGGCUGACAACACCGAAUUGGGGUCCAAUUCCAAUCAAAUCCAUGGUGUUGGGGUCUGGAUUCUUGUUUUCAUAUACAAAAAUUAAAUACCAAGUAAACUGUUUAUUCGGAUCA